AACGAACGCUGGCGGCAUGCCUAACACAUGCCAGUCGAACGAGACCUUCGGGUCUAGUGGCGCACGGGUGCGUAACGCGUGGGAACCUGCCCUUAGGUUCGGAAUAACUCCCCGAAAGGGGUGCUAAUACCGGAUAAUGUCUUCGGACCAAAGAUUUAUCGCCUUUGGAUGGGCCCGCGUUGGAUUAGCUAGUUGGUAGGGUAAAAGCCUACCAAGGCGACGAUCCAUAGCUGGUCUGAGAGGAUGAUCAGCCACACUGGGACUGAGACACGACCCAGACUCCUACGGGAGGCAGCAGUGGGGAAUAUUGGACAAUGGGCGAAAGCCUGAUCCAGCAAUGCCGCGUGAGUGAUGAAGGCCUUAGGGUUGUAAAGCUCUUUUACCCGGGAUGAUAAUGACAGUACCGGGAGAAUAAGCUCCGGCUAACUCCGUG
rnacentral:rRNA from 1 species